GAUGAAGAACGCAGCGAAAUGCGAUAAGUAAUGUGAAUUGCAGAAUUCAGUGAAUCAUCGAAUCUUUGAACGCACCUUGCACUCCUUGGUAUUCCGAGGAGUACGCCUGUUCGAGUGUUAUGAAGCUCUCAAAACGCAAUUGGCUUAAAACCUGAUUGUUGUUUUGGAUUUGAACUUUGCCGUGUUAUAACGGCUGGUUUUAAAAGUAUUAGCUGGUACUAGAACGAAUUGGUUCUACUCAACGUGAUAAUUAUCUGAUCGUUGAGGACAUUCCUUUCACGAGGAAUGGCCAUAGUAAAUUCAAUGGACUGCUUCUAAUCUGGCUUUAAUUCUUUAUUAGAUUAACCACUUUUCAAAUCUGACCUCGAAUCAGGUGGGACUACCCGCUGAACUUAAGCAUAUCAAUAAGCGGAGGA
rnacentral:misc_RNA from 1 species